CUUGGUAGUCGUGCUGUUAUCUGUCUUUCCUUUUGCAUGGAGCUGUUUUUUGGCUUACCAAGUUGAAAUCCAAAGUCAAGCUCACAAGACCAGUUUUAAUUCUACAUGCCAAUCUUGCCAUAAUCCCAAUUUGUUCCCCGUGUCCUCCACACGUUUUGGGAGUACCAAAAUGGCAACCAAUGGCAUCAGCCAACCGUCACACCUCUAAAUGCGUAUGCGCUGUCCAGUUAUUGUAAUUUAAUUUUUAAAAUUUAGAUUAGUGCUUGGAUGCGACAUUUCCUCUAUUUCAAACAAGUAGAGGAAAGGAAGACUAAUGAAUGGCUCAAGACAAGAAUUGUGUAAUAUUUGUUGCUUGAAUGCAGCCAGAGUUCCUCUCUUCAAGGAGCAUUUAGUUAAUAAAAGAAAAUGUCAAAAAUAGCUCAAAUGAUUUGUGUGUGUGUGUGUGUGUGUGUAUGAGUGUCUUGUAAAAUGAAGGGAUUGGUGGAACAGUCAAGAAAGUAAAGCAACAUUUGAUGUGAAAGCUGUAAAGGGACACUCAAGGGACUGAAACGCAUCCAAACAUGUCCAGAAGUUGUGCAGAACAAUGCGCAGGUCAUAUUCGGCAAAUGAAUUUGACAAAAAAAAAAAAAAAAAAAGACUCGACGGGCGUUUUGCAGAGCAAACGUUGUCGCGUCGUCUCCCACCCGAGGCCGCAGGGCACUCUGGGAAACGGGACAAAGGAAGCGGCGCCGGAGAGCAAAAUCAAGCCGGCCAAGCGACUGCAGGUGCCGAGGGCGUCGAGCAGCUCUCAAUGAAGCCUGAGACCCUUGACUGGAGCAGCUGCAGCUCGGAGAGGACGGUGGCUGGGCCCCCACCCAAUGCGAACAAUGGCUGCCCUGGCGGUGUGCUAAAUUGUAGUAUUAGAAGAGUGGGAGGUAACUUGUGUAUUUUUGCAGGCAUUCCAGGUAUUGGAAGCAGUUGUUCAUGGAUGUGAUCAACUGGCGUUGCAGGGAGGUUGCAAGUUGAAUCUCCCAAUUGUCCAUUUGCAGGUGGUGACUGGAGCAAUGGUGUCUUUCUACCUUUUUUUUUUUUUUUUUUUGGAGCUGUCCUGUCAAGUUCCAAAUGAAGUGGUGAUCGGCAGCGUUCAGUUUUAUCAUUGCAUCCGGCAAAUGGGUUGGAGAACCGGUAUUCUGGUUUAGACUAAAAUGGCAGCAGGACAAGGUUCAUGUCAGCGAAGUGGCUCAGGUCUUUCACGUCUAACUUUAUUUUUUUCCCCCCUUAGUGACCAGACAAAGUGCCUGGAUGAAUGAGGUCAGUCAAGAGGAGAAAACAAUUUUAUUUGGAGCUAAUUCAUGCUUUAAUCCGCUCAGGUCUGUUGUCUGCAGGUGCAGCUGGAGCAGAGAAGCACACUCGUCGCUGUCGUGCCCGGAGGAAGCCGCAAGAUGACAUUCGGAGCUAUGUAAUAUGGCAAUGUUGCAGCCAGCUCAUUUCAUUCAAGAGCGAUGGCGAAAUACUUUUACAAGCCAUCAGCUAUUGAGCAAAUUCGCAGCACCAGGGGGAAAAAAAAAAACCAACCCACAAGCUCAGAGCAUUAACGCAUUCUAAAAGGAUUUGGCUUCACUGAUUUUGGACAGUGCACCCCAUAAGAAUUUACUAAUAAAUCCAACACAUUAACCUGUCUAAUCCCAGUGGGGAAUAACAAAAGUACGACGGUCUUGUUGUACCCCUCACAAGCGUCCUCCCUUGGAUAAGAAAUGACCCAUUUUAGCAUUUCAAGCCCAAACAUUCCAUUGGCAGAUAUACAGAAACCGAGUGCACAUGUUUACAUAAAUGGUUUUUGUUCAACAUUAACAACAUUUAAUCUAAAUCUGGUCCUUUUUUUUUUUUUUUUUACAAAGACUAAUAAUAUUAGCUAUGAGGUGAUGCUUCUACAAAUAUUCCUAAACAACCUUCCUUGAACUAACAUGAAUAUAACCCACUAAACAUGUUUGCUUACAAUUUACAACAACUACAUUAAUAUCCGUUUCCAACUACCCGACAUCACUCUUACGUAUUGCGGAACUACAGCAAAGCAUUUACUCCUGUCAGAAUUUAACUUUGCCUACUAACAAAGUCAUAAUCCGCAGUCUCCAGUUGUUUAAGUUAAUUUCAUAUUUUGGCUUUACAAAUUUACUGCUUGUCAAAAGGUUAUUCUUUACCAAAUAACAUUUGCAUUGAGCAUCGAAUACUUUUCACUUAGGAUUAGUUGCAGAGCACAUCAGUGAGGCCUGUAUUUUCUCCGACAAAGCAAAGAUCUUUUGCGUAUUAAUCUACGUUCCGGGCCCUUCUUAUCCAUGCUACGAUGGCCGCUAAGUUUACAAAUAACGCUACGGAUACUAGUUAAGUGUCAAUGACACCAUUGGAUGACAAACAGUCAGACUACAGUCCAAGCAGAGGAAGCAUUCUAGCUCUCCACCUCAGUCCUUUAAAAAUCUUUAGAACUAAUUCGCCAUUAAACACGAUAGGAAAACUGUUGGGUCCACUACACGUAGACAAGCGUCUGCAAAAUGAUUUACCUGCGGUUCCUCUUUCCUCCCUUGUUUUUCUUUGGGACCUGCCAACAACCAGUCACAAGAACAAUCGCACCGUCGCGCAGGAAGCCGCGUCAACUCCUCGACAGCCUCUGGGGGACAAAAGCAGCAGUAAAGAUCCUGCAGGACAUUCUUACAUCAUCACUUUAGGUGCUAUUGCCAUGCAAGUUGCUCUUCGUCUGCCACUGCAGUCGGACAUUUUCAUUCUCCUUCUGAACGCCAUCUUUUCUUUUACAUGAAAUUCUAAUGGUUUACUCACAUUUACUGCACUUUGUAACUAUUAGCACUCUUGAGAAGAAAAGCAAGUGUUCAAAACACAAAGUUGUCUACUGGACCGUAACAUCCAUCCGACAAAUUAAGGAAAUUGACAAGGUUGCCCAUCAUUCUUUUAAACAAGCUCAGUUCCACAGAAUGGUCCAACUAGUCAAGGGGUCUUUUCUCACAUUACACAACAAUUUGACAUUUAAGACAGCAACACACAAAUGACAUGAUUUGUCUAAUAUUUACUUUAAGGCGCAGUGGGGGCACAGAUCUAAAAAAAAAGUUACUGUCCACCAUCUGAAGCCAAACAUUUAUUAAUUGACUUCAGGUUGAGAUAAUGGGUCGCAUAUGACCCAGUGGGCCUUAACGACCGAAACCCAAAGUCUUUCACGCAGACACGUGCGACGUUAGGCCCUUAAUUACACUGGGUCAUAUGUGAUGCCCAUGGGUUCUCUAGGGUUAAGUGAUUUACACACGAAAAGAUAAAAAAAAAUUAAUAAGAAACUUACCUUUGCCCGUCGCCACUUGCAGACGGCGACCACACAAUUUACUUUGCACCAGCAUCUGCCUGGAGUAUAAAACACUACGACAUUGCGUUCAAAUAGACAGCAGUGGCUCUGAACCUUGCUGAACAUAAACUCUUCCCGCAAAUGACAUCCACGUGUCCGCAUAACCAAUCUGAAAUCAUGAUUUUAAGUUUAUUUCACAUUUGGAAAAAUUACGCACAAGCAUUGAAUCCAGCCAACUUGUUCGACAUGCAACCAUCCAGUUGCCGGGAUUCAACCUUUACCCCAUCUUUAUCCGUACACAAUUUCUAACACUAAAAGGUUUUUAAAGCUAAUAGAAUAAAUAUCACACCAAAACACUCCAUUUACAUUUUUCCCAACUCUUCUGCUGCUUUUACCCUUGGGAAAUGCAACUCAUCUUGUGACACCAAAGUCUGUUCCGUGUUAUUUCAACUAUUCUGGAGCUCUUUUCUAAUUUUUUUUGGUGUAUUUCAUUUUGACAACGACCUAAAACAUGAAAAUCACUCAAAACAAUAUCCCCCUUUUUAUUUGGUCUCGGCCCAUCACUUAGCAGGGGUGGCAGUCUGAGCGCUCCCCCGUGCUGAAAAGUCUCCUUGUGAUGAAUGCGCAUGCGUUACUAACAGGGGAACUCUGGGUACGUAGCCGACGCUCACUGGGAAAUCCGCUGGCCACCGAGUUCCCCUUCCCCUCCUUCUAUAUAGAGGGAGCUAACACAUGCUACAACUUCACCUUAAAACUAAAGUUGAUAAAAAACCGAUACACAUAUUUGCACAUGCACUGCGUUCCUCUUUCUGAGACCUCCGGAAUGAACACGAACACUCGGCAACGAGUUUUCGGAUGCCGCAUGUUGAAGCAUGGAUGGGGACGUUUCAGACUGGCCAGAAGUUUACUAAAUACUCGACGCAUGCACGUUGAUCCAAACGAGACUUUUCAGCACCAGGAGCGCUCAGACCCGUCACACCGGCCUGUGGCAGCGUGCCGCCCUAUCUACUACUUUCGACAUUUGUCUUUAGAAAUUUCCCAUCCUAAUUGGAGUAAUACCUCCAAAAUUAUUUGAAUUUUGCACUUUUAUCUUCAAAUGCUUCUUAGUUGGAUUUCUAAAGGCUACCUUUUGGAAAAGAAAUUAAGGGAGUUCUUUCCUAACAAAUAAUAAUACAGCCUGCUCAUCAGCUCGUUCCUAGUUUAAGGGAAUUGCUUCAAGGUGGGUAACGGGGGGGAGACAGCGCCCCGCCCGCCACAGCCACACAUUGCAUGGGGGGGGGGGGGGCACAUCUCUCAUCCGUGCGGUAAUGGUAAAAAAGUGGCACGUUUCCACAUACACAGAAGCAAAAUCCGUUCUAGUCAAGUGGGUGCCCUCAGUUGAAGCUUUCUGUCAUCACAUCCAGCAACAUUUCCACAAGCCUCCUGGAAACGGCAGCGUCGUACGUGCCCUAAACAAUUGAAAUCAUCUCUGAAUAAAACACAGAUAAUAAUCAACAUUUCCAUUUUGUUUUUCUUUCCCAUCUUCGGGUUUUAAUGGGUUUCCUUUCCUGUAACCUUUUCGUCAGCUGCUGAACAGCCCAUUUUCACUUCAUUGUUGAUGUUUUGGAUUACUCACUCACUUCUGUUUAUUUCUGCAGUUUUACAACACUGCUACAUUUUCAGUCUCUCCAUUUUAUAUUUUCACAAGACCACUAGAAGAUCACUUACGGCGCUGGACUCAAGUGUAUUGUUUACAUCAAAUGUUGUUGCAAUUAAAUAAACGGCCCGGAGCGCAACAAAGCGACGGCGGACCGCAACCUUGACUUUCCCGCUACUCGUUCCAGGACCUCCAAACGCUAUUAAUCACGAUGUGGAUCUUGUUAAACCGCCGCAGUUUGUCCCAAUGCCAGUUAAGGAUUGGAUAAACCCCGGCACAAAGUAUACUAAAUGUUUUACUUCUCCCUUUGUGAAUAUCACUUAUUAUUAACAACUAAAAUAAGAGGACAUUAGUAAACUACACAACAUCUACAGUGAAGAAAAGUAUUUGAACAUGCUGCUAUAUUGAAAGUUCUCCCACUUAGAAAACGUGGAGAGGUCUGAAAUUUUCAUCGUAGGUGCAUGUCCACUGUGAGACAGAUAAUCUAAACAGAAAAAUCCAGAAUUCACAAUGUCAGAUUUUUUUUAACGAUUUCUUUGUGUGAUACAGCUGGAAAUAAAUAUUUGAACACCUGAGAAAAACAAUGUUAAUAUUUCGUACAGUAGCAUUUGUUUGUAAUUACAGGGGUCAAACGUUUCCUGUAGUUGUUCACCAGGUUUGCGCACACUGCAGGAGGGAUUUUGGCCCACUCCUCCACACAGAUCUUCUCUUGAUCAGACCGGUUUCUGGGCUGUCACUGAGAAACACGGAGUUUCAGAUUCUCCCAAAGAUUUUUUUUUAUUGGGUUUAGGUCUGGAGACUUGCUAGGCCACGUCAGAACCUUGAUAUGCUUCUUACUUGUGGCUGUGUGCUUCGGGUCAUUGUCAGGUUGAAAGACCCAGCCACGACCCAUCUUCAGUGCUCUGACUGAGAGGAAAAAGGUUGUUGGCCAAAAUCUCACAAUACAUGGCCGCACUUAAUACAGUGCAAUCGUCCUAUCCCAUGUGCAGACAAACACCCCCAAAGCAUGAUACUACCAUGCUUGCCAUGCUUCACAAUAGCGUCCCUAUUGUUCUUGGGAUGGAACUCAUCAUUCGUCUUCCUCCAAACACAGUUAGUGGAAUUAUGACCAAAGAGUUCCAUUUUGGUCUCAUCAAAACCUUAUCCCAUGACCUCUUUAUAUCAUCCUAAUGGUUUUGGCAAAUUUAAGAUGGGCCUUCACAUGUGCCAGUUUAAGCAGGGGAACCUUCAACAGUGGACCUUUCCCCACCAAGCUGCUUGGCAAGUUCUCCGUGGCCAUUUCCAGCCGUGUGGAGUUGAACAAUUUUGUCUCUGGUGUCUUUGGACAGCUCUUUGGUCUCGGCCAUGUGACAAGUUUGAGUCUUACUGAUUGCAUGGGGUGGACAGGUGUCUUUAUGCAGCUCGGGACCUCACACACUUGCAUCUGAUUCAGGAUAAUACAUAUGGAGUGGAGGCGGACUUCUAAAGACGGACUAACAUGUGAUUGAGGGCCAGAAUUCGAGCUGAUAGGUGUUCAAAUACUUAUUUUCAGCUGUAUCAUACAUUGUCAUUUCUGGAUUUUUUUUUUUUUUUUUAGAUCUCUCUCCCAUUGGACAUGCUCCUCCGAUGAAAUUUUUAGACACCGCCAUGAUUUCUAAGUGGGAGAACUUGAAAUUUAGCAGGGUGCUCAAAUGUGUAUUCUCUUCACUGUAUAUACAGCUUGUUCUUCUAUUAUUCUUACUCCAUUUUUUUUUUUUGGUUUUCCUCCACUUCAGUGUGUCUUCCUGUCACUCAGUUGAACCCCAUUUUUGAUACUAAACCCAGCGGUCGUUACCUUCUGCCUACCCGUCGGACUUUUAACCACUCAAAUAACCAGACAGACACGUCCAUGGCUUUGGUAUUAACGUGG